rnacentral:rRNA from 1 species
AAAGGUGGUGAGAGCCAUCACUGGGAGUUGGGUUCGCGUCGGAUUAGCUAGCUGGUGAGGUAACGGCUUACCAGUGCUACGAUCCGUAGCUGGUCUGAGAGGACGAUCAGNCACACUGGGACUGAGACACGGCCCAGACUUCUACGGAAGGCAGCAGUGGGGAAUCUUCCGCAAUGGGCGCAAGCCUGACGGAGCAACGUCGCGUGAGUGAAGAAGGCUUUCGGGUUGUAAAGCUCUGUCCUUAGGGAAGAACAGUCUAUAGAGGAAAUGUUAUAGAUAUGACGGUACUUAAGGAGGAAGCUCUGGCUAACUACGUGCCAGCAGCCGCGGUAAUACGUAGAGAGCGAGCGUUGUCCGGAAUUACUGGGCGUAAAGGGUAUGCAGCCGGAUAUACAAGUCGGAUGUGAAAGGUGCCGGCUCAACUGCCGGAGUGCAUUUGAAACUGUAUAUCUUGAGUGCAGGAGAGGAAAACGGAAUUCCUGGUGUACCGGUGGAAUGCGUAGAUAUCAGGAAGAACACCAGUGGCGAAGCCGGUUUUCUGGCCUGCAACUGACGCUGAGGUACGAAAGCCGGGGGAGCGAACGGGAUUAGAUACCCCGGUAGUCCCGGCUGUAAACGAUGGAGACUAGGUGUUGGGGGUUCGAAUCCUUCAGUGCCGGAGUUAACGCGAUAAGUGUCCCGCCUGGGGAUUACGACCGCAAGGUUGAAACUCAAAGGAAUUGACGGGGGCCCGCACAAGCGGUGGAGCAUGUGGUUUAAUUCGAUGCAACGCGAAGAACCUUACCGAGGUUUGACAUCCUGUGCCUAUUUGUGAGAGCAGAGUAUAGGUCUUAGUACCUACACAGAGACAGGUGGUGCAUGGCUGUCGUCAGCUCGUGUCGUGAGAUGUUGGGUUAAGUCCCGUAACGAGCGCAACCCUUAUUCCUAGUUGCCAGCAUUUAAGGUGGGGAUUCUAGGGAGACAGCCGGUGAAAGCCGGAGGAAGGUGGGGAUGACGUCAAGUCCUCAUGCCCUUUAUGCCUCGGGCUACACACGUGCUACAAUGGUUGGUACAGAGGGGAGCGAAGCUGUGAAGUGGAGCCAAUCUCAGAAAACCGAUCUUAGUUCGGAUUGCAGGCUGCAACUCGCCUGCAUG